CCGGAGAAUGUUAUCACGGGAGACACACGGCGGGUGCUAACGUCCGUCGUGAAGAGGGAAACAACCCAGACCGCCAGCUAAGGUCCCAAAGUCAUGGUUAAGUGGGAAACGAUGUGGGAAGGCCCAGACAGCCAGGAUGUUGGCUUAGAAGCAGCCAUCAUUUAAAGAAAGCGUAAUAGCUCACUGGUCGAGUCGGCCUGCGCGGAAGAUGUAACGGGGCUAAACCAUGCACCGAAGCUGCGGCAGCGACGCUUAUGCGUUGUUGGGUAGGGGAGCGUUCUGUAAGCCUGCGAAGGUGUGCUGUGAGGCAUGCUGGAGGUAUCAGAAGUGCGAAUGCUGACAUAAGUAACGAUAAAGCGGGUGAAAAGCCCGCUCGCCGGAAGACCAAGGGUUCCUGUCCAACGUUAAUCGGGGCAGGGUGAGUCGACCCCUAAGGCGAGGCCGAAAGGCGUAGUCGAUGGGAAACAGGUUAAUAUUCCUGUACUUGGUGUUACUGCGAAGGGGGGACGGAGAAGGCUAUGUUGGCCGGGCGACGGUUGUCCCGGUUUAAGCGUGUAGGCUGGUUUUCCAGGCAAAUCCGGAAAAUCAAGGCUGAGGCGUGAUGACGAGGCACUACGGUGCUGAAGCAACAAAUGCCCUGCUUCCAGGAAAAGCCUCUAAGCAUCAGGUAACAUCAAAUCGUACCCCAAACCGACACAGGUGGUCAGGUAGAGAAUACCAAGGCGCUUGAGAGAACUCGGGUGAAGGAACUAGGCAAAAUGGUGCCGUAACUUCGGGAGAAGGCACGCUGAUAUGUAGGUGAAGUCCCUUGCGGAUGGAGCUGAAAUCAGUCGAAGAUACCAGCUGGCUGCAACUGUUUAUUAAAAACACAGCACUGUGCAAACACGAAAGUGGACGUAUACGGUGUGACGCCUGCCCGGUGCCGGAAGGUUAAUUGAUGGGGUCAGCGCAAGCGAAGCUCUUGAUCGAAGCCCCGGUAAACGGCGGCCGUAACUAUAACGGUCCUAAGGUAGCGAAAUUCCUUGUCGGGUAAGUUCCGACCUGCACGAAUGGCGUAAUGAUGGCCAGGCUGUCUCCACCCGAGACUCAGUGAAAUUGAACUCGCUGUGAAGAUGCAGUGUACCCGCGGCAAGACGGAAAGACCCCGUGAACCUUUACUAUAGCUUGACACUGAACAUUGAGCCUUGAUGUGUAGGAUAGGUGGGAGGCUUUGAAGUGUGGACGCCAGUCUGCAUGGAGCCGGCCUUGAAAUACCACCCUUUAAUGUUUGAUGUUCUAACGUGGACCCGUGAUCCGGGUUGCGGACAGUGUCUGGUGGGUAGUUUGACUGGGGCGGUCUCCUCCUAAAGAGUAACGGAGGAGCACGAAGGUUGGCUAAUCCUGGUCGGACAUCAGGAGGUUAGUGCAAUGGCAUAAGCCAGCUUGACUGCGAGCGUGACGGCGCGAGCAGGUGCGAAAGCAGGUCAUAGUGAUCCGGUGGUUCUGAAUGGAAGGGCCAUCGCUCAACGGAUAAAAGGUACUCCGGGGAUAACAGGCUGAUACCGCCCAAGAGUUCAUAUCGACGGCGGUGUUUGGCACCUCGAUGUCGGCUCAUCACAUCCUGGGGCUGAAGUAGGUCCCAAGGGUAUGGCUGUUCGCCAUUUAAAGUGGUACGCGAGCUGGGUUUAGAACGUCGUGAGACAGUUCGGUCCCUAUCUGCCGUGGGCGCUGGAGAACUGAGGGGGGCUGCUCCUAGUACGAGAGGACCGGAGUGGACGCAUCACUGGUGUUCGGGUUGUCAUGCCAAUGGCACUGCCCGGUAGCUAAAUGCGGAAGAGAUAAGUGCUGAAAGCAUCUAAGCACGAAACUUGCCCCGAGAUGAGUUCUCCCUGACCCUUUAAGGGUCCUGAAGGAACGUUGAAGACGACGACGUUGAUAGGCCGGGUGUGUAAGCGCAGCGAUGCGUUGAGCUAACCGGUACUAAUGAACCGUGAGGCUUAACCUUACAACGCCGAAG
rnacentral:rRNA from 1 species